GCGGGAAUAGCUCAGUUGGUAGAGCACGACCUUGCCAAGGUCGGGGUAGCGAGUUCGAGUCUCGUUUCCCGCUCCA
rnacentral:tRNA from 6 species